rnacentral:rRNA from 1 species
UACGAAGGGGGCUAGCGUUGCUCGGAAUUACUGGGCGUAAAGGGCGCGUAGGCGGCACUGUUAGUCAGGCGUGAAAGUCCUGGGCUCAACCUGGGAACUGCGCUUGAUACGGCAGAGCUAGAGGAUGGAAGAGGGUCGCGGAAUUCCCAGUGUAGAGGUGAAAUUCGUAGAUAUUGGGAAGAACACCGGUGGCGAAGGCGGCGACCUGGUCCAUUACUGACGCUGAGGCGCGACAGCGUGGGGAGCAAACAG